GGAGGAAAGUAGGGGAUCGAAAGACCUUGCGCUUUGGGAGCGGCCGAUGUCUGAUUAGCUAGUUGGUGGGGUAAAGGCCUACCAAGGCGACGAUCAGUAGUUGGUCUGAGAGGACGACCAGCCACACUGGGGCUGAGACACGGCCCAGACUCCUACGGGAGGCAGCAGUGGGGAAUUUUGGACAAUGGGCGCAAGCCUGAUCCAGCAAUGCCGCGUGAGUGAAGAAGGCCUUCGGGUUGUAAAGCUCUUUCAGUCGAGAAGAAAAAGCUGCAGUGAAUAACUGUAGUUCAUGACGGUAUCGACAGAAGAAGCACCGGCUAACUACGUGCCAGCAGCCGCGGUAAUACGUAGGGUGCGAGCGUUAAUCGGAAUUACUGGGCGUAAAGGGUGCGCAGGCGGCUUUGUAAGUCAGAUGUGAAAUCCCCGGGCUCAACCUGGGAAUUGCGUUUGAAACUACAAGGCUAG
rnacentral:rRNA from 1 species